GUACCUGUGGCUGAGUGGUCAAAAGCGGUGGGCUCAUAAUCCAUUUUUUUUCAAAAGUUCAAAUCUUUUCAGGUAUA
rfam:Eimeria necatrix Houghton genomic scaffold, Enh_scaff2171